AGUCCUACGGGGGGCAGCAGUGAGGAAUAUUGGUCAAUGGGCGCGAGCCUGAUGGAGCAACACCGCGUGAGUGAAGAAGGGUUUCGGCUCGUAAAGCUCUGUUGGUAGUGAAGGAAGAUAGAGGUAGUAACAGGCCUUUAUUUUACGGUAAUUACUUAGAAAGGCACGGCUAACUACGUGCCAGCAGCCGCGGUAAUACGUAGGGGGCAAGCGUUAUCCGGAUUUAUUGGGUGUAAAGGGCGGGUAGGCGGGGUUGGAAGUCAG
rnacentral:rRNA from 1 species